CUGCCUCAGCCUCCCAGGGUGCUGGGAUUGCAGAUGUGACCCACCCAUCUGUUUCACUUUACAUGCUUCACAUGUGAGAGACGUGGAGACACUGUUCCUGACUACAGCCCCUUCACCCUCAGGGGUAGCAAUGGACCCCAAGGAGUGACCAAUUCUUCAGUCUCUAGACACACCACUGACGGGGGUAGGAACAAGGUGCUGCAGGGCCCAGGGUUGUGGGGGAAUGAUUCAGCCCACGACACCAGGAAGGCUCUGAGGAGCCGCAGUGUUUGAGCUGCGUCUUGGGCUGGUGAACACGGAGGAGCACCCUCCAGGUGAGGGCAGGCAUCUCUGUCCCCCAAGCCAGGUGGGUGUCAGGUGUAGGUAAACUGUGAGGGGGCACCGUGGAGGCGGAUGGAGAAGAGGCCGGGGUGCUGCGGAGGAGCAGGGCAGGCCGUGAACAGAGAGCUGGAGGGACGGACGCUGUGCAGGGACAGGGCAGGGCAGGGGCUGCUGCAAUAGUCCAGGCCAGGAGCCUUCCUGACGCUCCGACUCGGGGAGCGCCUGCAUCAAGGAGACUUCAGUGCAUGGUUCAGUUCCACAAAAACCAGGACCCCCCUGUGUGUGAAGUGGGACACCACACAGGACCCGCCAAGUGUUUAGAGACAGCACUCUCUCCGUGCUGCAGAGUGGCCUCUGAAGGGACGCGGCGUCCUCUCCAGACAUCCGAGGUUGAGGCUGCUGCUGCCGGCCUGCCGGCUGUGCCAAACACAGCCACGUACCUGUAAGACAUAAUGACUGACAGGAAUCCAUUUCUCCACUGAUCGUUCGAUAAGAUGCGGAAGAUAAGGCUAAUCAUCAGGAGCUUGCUCUCUGUCCCUCCCGGGAGGCGUCUUUGUGAUAACCUGUCUCUGCACUGAGCCAACGAUGGGAAAGUCCGAGUGGGAGACUUGUCCUGCAGAUUCCGCAGGAGCCGUCCGGGCGUGCGGGGGCUGCAGCCAGCACUGUCCGGACUCGGCCCCCACUGCGACUGCAGUGAGCAGCUGUCACAGUAAGAGCAGGGGCGAGGGCCUCGUCUGCAACUUCAUUUUUCCCAAGAGCGAUGGCAGUGCUGGAGCGGAGUGCGGCUGGGACAGCGAGAGUUGCAGAAAACGAACCCACCUUGUGGCAGUUUUAGCAGAGUGACAUUUAUCACAGGACUCUCGACAGCUGAUACAUAGUGAGAUAUCUUACGGAUGGGACCCAACUUUAAAUGUGAAAUUCAUCCAUUCCGUGGAUAUACAGCCUGGAGGCAAUUCUAUGCUGUAUCUCUCAUGCACCUGGCUUUUGACCGCAGCCCUCACCUGAGGUCAGGGGUGGAAUUUUCCGCCUGAGGUGUCACGUUGGUGCUUGAAAAGUUCCAGAUUUUAGAGCACUUAGGAUUCAGAGUUCUGGGUUAGAGAUGCUCCACCUAUAUUACACAAGGAUUGAAGAAACAGAGCCAAGUCCAGAAAUUACUCCCAAAGCCACACCUCAGAGCCAGGCCACCGGGAAAGCUGCUGCCUCUCCCAGGUGUGCAGACACGCAGCACGCACUCCGGAUCCGCCUCACCUCUGCGUUAUCUGGACAGAAGCCUCAGCUUCUCUGCUGGCUCCCAGAACUAACCCCAGCUGCUGCAGCCUGUGUCCCACGGACGCCCUGAGUCCACCUCUCACUCCCUCCUGCUGGUCAGGUCCAGUGUUCUGCUCCCGGGGGCCUCCAAGGUCUGUCCAAGGUGUCGAGUUAGCGGAAGUCAGUCACACUCAGGUCUGAACUGCAGCAAGCCAGAGAGCAGAGGGCUUCAUGUCUGCAUUCUGCAGAGCGGGGCGUGAGCACUGCCACCAGGCUACAUCUCAGCAUGGCCCCUGUGGUCAGGAAGAGGACAGAGACCCUCAGGUUGGCCGUUCCUAGGCCCAGAAGUCACAGGUAUCCUGUCCUCCAGAAGCCCUUCCCCUCAGGUGGUCUGCCUGCCACGCACUCAAGCGCCAUGCUGACGUCUGUAUUCCACUCGCAUUCGUGUCUUCCAGGCCCGGCUGACCGCUUGGAAGGGUCCCACCCAGCCUUCGGAGGACAGUGUAAGACUUCCGUGAAAACUUCUGCACUACGCUGUCCUGCCAAGGCCCUGCCUCCCGGAGCACUGGGCCCUCACUACUUCCUCCAAGUCCUUCGCACAUCCGUAACCUUAGUGUGUGCGGUCCCUGCUCGCCCUCUAAGUGCCUCCUGAAUAGUCUUGAAGCGCCAAGUGGCUCAAGAGUCCUGUGGGAGGAACCGGGACCAGGACUCUCCUUGCAUUCCUGACCGUUUUGGAAGUCAGCGUGGAAGACAGAAACACCAGUUAGCAACUAUUCCCAGGAAAGUCUGUUUCCUACAUUACAAAUGGGAAAAUAA